GGAGAUUCUCAGGUGACGCACCCUGGAAUCAGGCUCUCUCCUCUCUGGUGCUGGGUGCAUCACCUGAGAACCGCA
rfam:Myotis lucifugus cont2.35530, whole genome shotgun sequence.